UUGAGAAGCUAUAAUCUCGUCGAGGAGCACGCUGGUGCAGGGGGACAUUUGUCUCAGCCGUUCCCAGCCACAGCCCUGCAAGCUGGAGUUCUUCAUGAUGGAGGCCAGAAGUCUGAGGUCCAAAGAGGAGACGGGGUCCCCAUGGCUGCACAGACUACCAACCUCUUAACAUUGAAAAUGAGACCCAAC